rnacentral:rRNA from 1 species
UACGAAGGGGGCUAGCGUUGUUCGGAAUUACUGGGCGUAAAGCGCACGUAGGCGGGUCGUUAAGUCAGGGGUGAAAUCCCAGAGCUCAACUCUGGAACUGCCUUUGAUACUGGCGACCUAGAGUCCGGAAGAGGUUAGUGGAAUUCCCAGUGUAGAGGUGAAAUUCGUAGAUAUUGGGAAGAACACCAGUGGCGAAGGCGGCUAACUGGUCCGGUACUGACGCUGAGGUGCGAAAGCGUGGGGAGCAAAUAGG